AAAAAGAAGCAAAUUUUAAGAAAGGGCCAAAUAAAGAAUUCUCUCCAUCUAUUUCCUACGAUCCCUCAAGGACGCCCCAGCCCCCGAGACGAUCCGCCGCCGAGAUCCGAGACGAUCCGCCGCCGCCGAGGACCGAGUGGAACCGCCGCCUCCACGUCGCCGCCGGCGGCGCUGGCCAGGCUCCCCACCGAUGGGCGCGCCGGGUCGCCGCUCCUCGAGGCCAGUUCCCCUCGUUGCUCCAGAUCGCGCCUCAGUUUGUGAUCCCUUGGGGAUCCUGCCAGGCCGCCGCCGCCGAGGACUGAGUGGAGACGCCGCCUCCACGUCGUCGCCGCCGGCGCUGGCCAGGCUCCCCACCGAUGGGCGCGCCGGGUCGCCGCUCCUCGCGGCCAGUUCCCCUCGCUGCUCCAGAUCGCGUCUCGGUUUGUAAUCCCUUGGGGAUCCUGCCGGUGCUUGAGGCGUCCGCGAUGGUGCGGACUCAGGACCGAGCGGUGGGGCACAUCAUGCGUUCUGGUUGAGAGAUUGGUCUGGCUGGCGUGGGAACUGAACUGCCGUCGAUGGAUUUUUUUGGUAGCUUGGCUGCAUGUUGCUUCAGAUUUGGUACUACCCCCAUCUCUCUCUCUCUGUUUGUGUGUGUGUGGGCGUGCGCGCGAAGCAGUCGAUCUCUAAUUGCCGACUGCCGACCCAUCGCCCCAAUGGCCGUCGCAUCAGUUCCAUACCGCUACAGCACUGCCAGCCACCGUCGUUGUAUUGCCUUGGAUUCAGUUGUGGCUUCGGCUGGAACGGUGUUGUCUGAUGCCCUGGUCCAAGCGGGUUUGGUCCGCUGAUGCCAGGUAUGAGAUGCUCUUGAGACUGAUCGCUCCAUGUGGGCAUGCGUGUAAUGGGUAUCAUGGUCUGUAGAGGCAACCUUUUUUGGGUAGAAAAAUGAGGGGUGAUGAUGAUGAUCAAGAUAGUCGUGUUGUAUGGGUACUAAAUAGACCCUGAAUGGGUGACCAUGUUCGGGUUGCCCUUACAGCCCACACUUACCUCUCUUGCAGCCUGUUCAAUUCAUCGCCAAUGUUGGAUUAUCUGUCCACGGUCGUUCUGACAAGUGCAAACCAUGGCAGUUCUCUUACACUGUGAUGGGUAGAUUAUGCAGCAAAAGAUGUGAGUGUUGGGCUUGAGAUGAAAGACAAAACUGAGUCCUCUUUUGCUACACUACAGAUACUCAUUGUUUCACAGUUGAGUUGCAUUUUGUUUUGGAUUUGGUACAAUCGUCAUCACACUCUCUUUCUCAAACACUAAACCAAAUCAGUUGCAUUACAUUUUACCUCAAAUCUUUGUCUAUAGUCACUUAUAGGAUUAGAAGUUUGAAUGAGCACAAUCUGUAUUAAACAGUAUCUGCCCUUAUUGUUUUUGACAUGAAAAUGAUGUUUGCUUUACAUUGAGCAACCACCUUAUGUCCUUUAAUAUGUAAUUGCAGGUAGUACAUUGUAGAUGCUGAUCCAAAAUGCAUAGAAACAUGGGUAGAGAUGGGAACUAUCAAAGCAAUUGGAACUAUCUGGGACGAACAGCGUCAUCAUCUUAUACUGCUAACAUGAUUGACCGAUCUAGGAGAUACUUAUGAGCUUCUGAAGCUCGAUUGUUCAGAUUAUCAUGGGCGAGAUGACAAUGAAGAGCCUGAUAUAGUAAGUGUCGAUCUUCUGAUCUUGGCAUAUAGCAAGUGUUUAGCUUCAUAAAUGAGUUCUGUAGUAUGUGCCUUUCUUCUCCAUAACUGGAUGAAACAUAUGAUUCAGAGGUCGAGGUCCUCUAAAUGGAAUUUGCAGACAUUAUCCUCAAUAAUUCAAUUUGUACCAAACUUGAUGGGUAACUUUAUUUUAAUAUUCUGCUGGCCGUCAUUUGCUCUAUUUGUUUAUUUAUUUUCCUAGCAACUAUGUGCUGUUACAAGCUUCAUUCUGAAUUUUGAUGUAAAUCUCAUGUUCCUAGGUCCACCAUGACAUCAAUGCACCAUUGUCCCGCUAUUUCAUUACACCGGACAGUAAUCAUAUUUUACUGGCAAUCAGCUAAUCAGUGACUAUAGUGAUGUUCUCAUCAUCAAGGCACUGCAAAUAGGUGUUUGUGUAAUUAAAUUAGACAUGUGGCCAAAUUCUUCUAAAGAUGACACUGAUAUUCUCCAUCAAAGUACUGAAUAUGACUUCCGCUGACAGUACUCAUAGUUAUGCUUCCGUUACUGAAAUCUUCAUGAGUGUGGAUCCUAUAUGAUUCUCUUCAUAUAAAAUACUACUAUUUUGGGAAAGGCAUCUAGCUGAGUUUUAAUGAAACUCUUGAGCGAAAAAUAUUUCUAACGGUGUUAGAACGACAACUGACAAGGACUGCCACGAUUAGAGCUACCAUUUGGCCCCAUGUUUCAGUAUGCAGUCAAGCAUGCAAUAAAGAUCGAAGAAGUAGAAUACUCCCUCCGAUCCAAAUUACUUGUCGUUGAAAUAGAUGCAUCUAUAAUUGACAUACAUCUAAGAUACAUCCAUUUCAGCAACAAGUAAUACGGAUUGGAGGGAGUAUCAAUUUUGCUGUGUUGAAGUCGUUAUGGAGGUGACAAGGAAUCUAUAUUGCUCUGUAGAUGACGACAUUGUGCAUUGCAAUAUAUAUUGCUCUGUAGAAAAAUACAUUUAUGUGGAGUAUGCUUCAGAUUCAGUGGUAAUGUAAUUUUGGUCGGGCAGGGGUUUGUGAAGAAAACUAGCAAGGUUCAUAGAUGCACCCAGGUGGAAUGUUUACUUUCCAAAUGUCAAGUAUUUAAAAAAAAUUAGACAUAUAAAUGUCUGAGUCCUUUGUGUGCUUGUCAAAUAUCAUGCAAAAAUGAUAAGGAGGACGAGGUUAUGAGGUAAUGUGCUCGGGCGGGAGGAAGAGGUACUGGUUCAAACCAUGAAAGUUCUUAGCUCAUAAUUGCUACCAAUUCUACAGAAAAGGUUGUGACUUUGUUAACCUGACUAGAGCUUUCAUGUUAUGUCAGUCCUUUAUUUAGAUGAUUUAGCUGUUGACCUACCGUUCCUUUCUAGAUGAUUACUUGCAGUUCUUUUACUAAGGCAGUGCAUCUAGGGUUUCUUUACUUGCUCACUGACCAUUCAGUUCAAUGACGGCCAAUGCGGUAGAAUCGAGGCUGCAACUCUAGCACUUCAAAGAGGAAAAGAAAACAUGACUACUUCAUGGCGAGAGAAGAGGAGGGCAGCGAGGAGCGAACAUGGGGAUGGGUGGCUGGGGCGUUUCUUGCACGAGGAUGGGGAAAUUGGAGUUAUCCAAGACCGGAAAUGUCCCUGUUGCUCUUAGGAAGGAUACUUUAUUUUUCAGUCAUUUGCUAUUACUCCAAGUAAGAACUGCGAUUUUGCAAAGAGUAAGCCAUUUCUUGUGAAUCUUGUAAGUUUCUGCAUUUUGUAGUUCAAGAGCUCCUGGUUUGGUUUGGCCUCGAUCCAAACACGUUGUUAGACUUUCAGUCCAUGGGCUCGGUAAAUCGAGAUCGAGAGAUGUCGUAGACUUUCAACCCAUGGCCUCAGUAGAUCGAGAGAGGGAGAGAGUAGUUAGGUGGCGGCGGCGGCUCCGGAGCACGAGUGCGACAGCGGCAACAGAGCAUGAGCGGGCAUGGACUGGGGACUAGAACAUGGAUGUGGAAGAUGGAGCGACAUCUGUGGUGCGACACCGUGUGGCGGUUGUCCGAGGUGUUGUCGAUGUGGAGCGGUGCCAUUUGGACUGAAGCCUAGCAUCCUAAGAUGGCAGGCUGGUGUCAACGCCGCUAGGGGUGGUGCCGAUGGAGGCGCUGGGACGAGGUAGCGAUGUAGGGGUCGAGAGUAGCUGUUGUAUGUGUGUGUGUCCCCUCCAUUGAUUUGUGACCAAGCCCACGGGAAAUCUAGCCAGCAACUGGUAGUGUCUUUCUGAAUUGUGGAGUCUUUCGCUGAGGCCAUGCAUUGAGAAGGUGAACUUCUGAUGCAUCUAUCAUCCAUGGGCUAAAAAUUGAAUUAUCAACAAGUAUGAUGAUAGCCAGUGUUACUGUGAUCUCCAAAGAACAAUAACUAUGCAACAUAGUGCUGAACUUUGACAUUUUCGUUUUGUUAUAAAUUUCCUUUUAAUAUUUCGUAAUUUAUUUAAUUAAUCUUUCUAUUAAUAUUUGGUUUCACUAUAGUAAAUUUAUUUGAAGGUCUCCAUGAUGGCAUAAUUCAAUGUAGAUUGAUGUGUCGAUUAUUUUGUCAUGCAUUUAUUUGCCCAACAUUACCUAGAUACUUAGUGCCAUUACAAUGACAUCCUGUUUUAUUUCAGAAAGUGAUUGCUCCAUCACAUACACAUUAAAAGAAAUUGCACAACUGCACCAUGGCUAUCCAGUAUAUCAAGCAAGAUUAAUCUAAACAUACCUUACAACAUCUCAUUACUCCCAUCGAGGUAAUCUAAACAUGUUCUUAAUGGCGACAAAUUUGAGCAGAAGAUAUUCUUAAUGGCAACAAGUAACUAAUUCUUUCGUUUCUAUGGAAUAUGUAAAUUCAUAUGCAGGUAAGCAGGUUAAUCUAAACAUGCCUUACAGUAUCCCAUUACUCUUGUUGAAGUUUUAUACUGUUAGAUUUCACCUUUGUUUGUAUUAAAUAUCUGAAGUAACGGAGCUUGAUUUUCAGUUUUGAUUUUUCACUCACUUCAUAGCCAACAUUACAGUGGUAUAUGUUGUAUGUAUUUCAGCACUAUACUUUUCCCUCGGUCUAUAUAGUUACUGUUACUUGCCUAAAAGACCGGGAAUUUUCGUUGUUCCGUUUCAACAACACGGUAUAAAUCUAAAUAGUUACUAUUACCUGAGGACAACUUGUCUUCCCCAACAUGGGAUUUCUUGUUAACUCUACUCAUCUUCGAUGUUUAUACAUGAUUGGCAAGUGUCAGCAACUUAUCGUGUUCACUUUUGGUUAGCAAAGGUUUUGAUAUAACAGUCAGAUAUUUAUGUUUGGGAUUAGCUCAUAGGUUAGACUCUGGGUUCCCUUCCCCUCUGUCGAUUGCUCCAGCAGCGAGAGGGUGGGGGAGCCCCUGUUCUCUGCUUUGGUGUGUAUAUAGGGUGUGUGGGUUGGUUUCUAGCUGGCAGCGCUCAGGAGGCAGAUGUGCUGCCGAUGCGAAUAAAAUUGGUGUUGUUCCUUUCCCUAUGCGUUGUCAUCCUUUGGGCCUUGACGGGGUGUGUGCAGAUUGGUGUCUCGGGAUCCGUUGGACCUGUCGAGCUUUGGUGUUUCUGGGUAUGGCCAUCGCGAUGGAGAAGGUUGCCAUGCCGUGGAGAUUUCGUCUCCUGGCUUCGUCCCCAUGGUGGCUGGGCGUGCUUCAUCCCUCAUCAUGGAGCCUAGGAGUCAUGUUCAGGAGUUGGAGCGGCGCCAGAUCUCCCCAUGUCUCGUCCUUAGUGGUUCUUCAUCAUGUUGCAUCUCCGGUGUGCUGGUCCGACUGGACCGAGGUUGACGACUUCCUGGCUGCAAAGAACCUGUCUACACUCCACAAGAUCAUGCCGGCAAAAUGUAGAGCGGCGCCUGAUCUCCCCAUGCCUCGUCCUCGGUGCUUCUUUGUCAUGUUGCACCUUCGGUGUGAUGGUUCUACUGGACAGGGGUUAACGACUUCCCGGUCGCGAAGAAUCCGUCCGCACUCUACAAGGUAACGUCGGCUCCAUGUUGGAGCGGGAGCGCGCCUUGAGCCCGCAUCUGAGUUUGUUGUAUCUGAGUUUGCGGUGGGUCGAAGCCCCAAGGACUUGAUUGUGAUUUGUGUUUUCUCUAGGGUGCUUAUACCACUGGUGUUCUUUAAUAUAUGACCUGGGUCUUCUCCACAAGAAAGGGUGAUAUCUAUCAUUUGUAAUGCAUUGCACACUA